CCUUCCCUCCUUCCUCUCGAUCUCCUCUCACCUCUGUCUCUCUUUCUUGCUGAACAGGGACCUCCAGGAGGGCCAUGGCGCCACUAGCCCUCAAUCUCGCCGGAUCCGGCCGCCUCCACGCCAAAUCCGCCGAAAAUGGAUCCAUCCCGUCCAGAUCCACCCGGAUCCGACCGGGCCCCCCAUCCUCGCCACUGGAGCACGACGGUCGGCGGGAGCGGCAUGACGUCGGGUAUGUAUGAGAAAAGAGAGAGAUGAGCAGGAGAGAAAAAGGGAGGACAAGAGGAGGCCAGAGGAAGAGAGAUGGGAGCGGUGACCGCGUACGACCGCCCCGACCACACGGUCGCGGCUUGGCCACCGCGGCCUCCGCGCGGAGCUUCGCGACUACGACCAGCCGGAGGUGGAGGCCAUCAUGUGGUGGGCCGUUAGGUCGGGCUUCAGGGACAACGUCGUCCUGCUCCGCAAGGUCAUCGGCCCCUACCUCAGCGCUAACGGCAGGUGCGUCAACGUCGACCACAGAGCUAGCUUCCCCUCCAGUAUUGGAUCGUCGAGCGCUUCCCUGCCAGGGAAGAUGGCAUACCUGCCUUUCCUGCCCUGCAUCUGAAUCCCCAUACGUGUACCUCCCCUUCAUGUUCAUCUACCUGGAGCUGGGACGGCGGAUCCCGUUCGUUCGGGCGCUCGAGGAGGGGUACUACCCCGAGGACGAAAGCCGGCGCCUGUUAUGGUUCAGGGGGUCCGCGUUCCGCCUGAGAGACGACAUGGCGUUCCUCGGGUUCCCUUGAAUGCGUGCAGCUCUCUCGCUCUCUCAUGUCUGAUGCACGCACGCUGUGCUACUGCUAUCUGGUGACUUGCUACGCACACACUGCAACAGGUUCUUCUUUGGUGUAUCAGGCCAGGCGUAAUUUGUUUUCAAAGAUGCUCACAUACACACACAAACGACAUCCAGUAGGCGCUUGGAACACCUGAUAGAUUGAAAGCACAGAAGCAAAUAUUUCCAAUACGAGGCCACGAUGCCCGACAGGGAUGUAGCCAAUAUGCGCCCAAUCCUUAUUUCUUGAUGUUGGAACAAGGCGGAACCCUACGUGGACGAUCUUUCACGUUGGAGCGGAUCCUACGGGGAAUCAUGAAGAACACGCGGAAGAACAAAGGGAAACACGGAGGAAACGAGAGAGAGAUCGCUCAACCAACAAGGAAUUAAUCACACAAGUGCUAGAUCAUCGAACACAAAGAGGUAC